GGGUUGUGAGGUUAAGCGACCAAGCGUACACGGUGGAUGCCCUGGCAGUCAGAGGCGAUGAAGGACGUGCUAAUCUGCGAAAAGCGCCGGUAAGGUGAUAUGAACCGUUAUAACCGGCGAUGUCCGAAUGGGGAAACCCAGUGUGACUCGUCACACUAUCAUUAACUGAAUCCAUAGGUUAAUGAGGCGAACCGGGGGAACUGAAACAUCUAAGUACCCCGAGGAAAAGAAAUCAACCGAGAUUCCCCCAGUAGCGGCGAGCGAACGGGGAGGAGCCCAGAGCCUGAAUCAGCAUGUGUGUUAGUGGAAGCGUCUGGAAAGGCGCGCGAUACAGGGUGAGAGCCCCGUACACAAAAGCGCACGUGCUGUGAGCUCGAUGAGUAGGGCGGGACACGUGGUAUCCUGUCUGAAUAUGGGGGGACCAUCCUCCAAGGCUAAAUACUCCUGACUGACCGAUAGUGAACCAGUACCGUGAGGGAAAGGCGAAAAGAACCCCGGCGAGGGGAGUGAAACAGAACCUGAAACCGUGUACGUACAAGCAGUGGGAGCCCCACCACCAAAGCGUUUCGCUUUGCGUGGUGCGCAAAAUGCGUAACGACAGCACGAUUGCGGUUAACGGAGCGUAAGCGACGUUCAACACAAAAAUCAGGCAGUGGAGCGUUUUGGGGUGGGGUGACUGCGUACCUUUUGUAUAAUGGGUCAGCGACUUAUAUUCUGUAGCAAGGUUAACCGCAUAGGGGAGCCGGAGGGAAACCGAGUCUUAAUUGGGCGUUAAGUUGCAGGGUAUAGACCCGAAACCCGGUGAUCUAGCCAUGGGCAGGUUGAAGGUUGGGUAACACUAACUGGAGGACCGAACCGACUAAUGUUGAAAAAUUAGCGGAUGACCUGUGGCU
rnacentral:rRNA from 1 species